GCAAACAGGAUUAGAUACCCUGGUAGUCCACGCCGUAAACGAUGUCGACUUGGAGGUUGUUCCCUUGAGGAGUGGCUUCCGGAGCUAACGCGUUAAGUCGACCGCCUGGGGAGUACGGCCGCAAGGUUAAAACUCAAAUGAAUUGACGGGGGCCCGCACAAGCGGUGGAGCAUGUGGUUUAAUUCGAUGCAACGCGAAGAACCUUACCUACUCUUGACAUCCAGAGAACUUAGCAGAGAUGCUUUGGUGCCUUCGGGAACUCUGAGACAGGUGCUGCAUGGCUGUCGUCAGCUCGUGUUGUGAAAUGUUGGGUUAAGUCCCGCAACGAGCGCAACCCUUAUCCUUUGUUGCCAGCGGUUAGGCCGGGAACUCAAAGGAGACUGCCAGUGAUAAACUGGAGGAAGGUGGGGAUGACGUCAAGUCAUCAUGGCCCUUACGAGUAGGGCUACACACGUGCUACAAUGGCGCAUACAAAGAGAAGCGACCUCGCGAGAGCAAGCGGACCUCAUAAAGUGCGUCGUAGUCCGGAUUGGAGUCUGCAACUCGACUCCAUGAAGUCGGAAUCGCUAGUAAUCGUAGAUCAGAAUGCUACGGUGAAUACGUUCCCGGGCCUUGUACACACCGCCCGUCACACCAUGGGAGUGGGUUGCAAAAGAAGUAGGUAGCUUAACCUUCGGGAGGGCGCUUACCACUUUGUGAUUCAUGACUGGGG
rnacentral:rRNA from 1 species